rnacentral:rRNA from 1 species
UACAGAGGUGGCAAGCGUUGUUCGGAUUUAUUGGGCGUAAAGGGUCCGUAGGCGGUUUGGAAAGUCAGAUGUGAAAUCCCACAGCUCAACUGUGGAACUGCAUUUGAAACUUCCGAACUAGAGUGUGAGAGGGGUGAAGGGAAUUCCCGGUGUAAGGGUGAAAUCUGCAGAGAUCGGGAGGAACACCAGUCGCGAAGGCGCUUCACUGGCUCACUACUGACGCUCAGGGACGAAAGCUAGGGUAGCAAACGGG